AUUUGGUUCUUCGAUAUUUUCUCCAUUUGCCUCAUGAAGGGAAGGCUCAUAUUCCAUAAUGGAGAAGAAAGAUUUGUUGGAGUAACGUAUCAUACACUGGUCGUACCAAAUGAUGGCUUCUUUCUUCCCAGGGCAUAUCUGGGUAAUAUUUUUAGUGACGGUAUCCACACAUUCUUGACACUCCUGAGGACUGAGAUCUCCUCUG
rnacentral:misc_RNA from 1 species